CGAUGGUCAAAAAAAUUAAAGCUAACAAAUAUACAGCAUUCGCGUUAGAAUAUAGUUGUCGUGUUUUAUAUAUCCACGCUUUUUGUGUACUUCUGUUUGUGAAAGUCUACUGCUGCUUGUGUACUGUUGCUUGUGUACUGCUGUUCAACUUUGUGUUUCGCUGCUUGAGUUCUGUUGCUUGUGUACUACUACUUGUGUACUCUUGCUUGAGGUCUGUUGUUUGUUUACUACUGCCUGUGUACUGUUGCUUAUGUACUGCCGUUUGUGUUCUGCUGCUGGUGUACUAGUUGUUGCUUGUGUACUGCUGUUUGAGUUCUACUGCUUGAGUACUGUUCCUUGUGUACUUCUGUUUGCGUUCUGCUGCUGGAGUACUGCUGUUUCUGUACUGUUACCUGUGUACUGCUGGUUGUGUACUGUUGUCUGUGUUCUGCUGCUUGAGUACUGUUGCCUAUGUACUGCUGCUUGAGUAAUGUUGCUUGUGUACUGCUGUUUUUAUACUACUGCUUGUGUAGUGCUGCUUGUGUGUUACUGUGCUGUUUGUGUACUGAUGCUUGUGUUCUGGUACUUGUGUACUGUACUGUACUGUUGUUUGUGUACUGCUGCUUGUGUUCUGGUACUUGUGUACUGUAUUGUAUUGGUGCUUGUGUACUACUGGUGUGGACUGGAAGGUAAAAGGUAUCUGAUCUGGCAAUUGCAAGUAAUUAUGUUUUAAGCCUCGGUCACACCUUACCU
rnacentral:lncRNA from 1 species